rnacentral:rRNA from 1 species
UGGGGAAUAUUGCACAAUGGAGGGAACUCUGAUGCAGCGACGCCGCGUGAACGAAGAAGGCUUUCGAGUCGUAAAGUUCUUUUAUAUGGGAAGAUAAUGACGGUACCAUAAGAAGAAGCCCCGGCUAACUACGUGCCAGCAGCCGCGGUAAUACGUAGGGGGCCAGCGUUGCCCGGAAUCACUGGGCGUAAAGGGUUCGCAGGCGGAAAUGCAAGUCAGGUGUAAAAGGCAGUAGCUUAACUACUGUAAGCAUUUGAAACUGCAUAUCUUGAGAAGAGUAGAGGUAAGUGGAAUUUUUAGUGUAGCGGUGAAAUGCGUAGAUAUUAAAAAGAAUACCGGUGGCGAAGGCGACUUACUGGGCUCAUUCUGACGCUGAGGAACGAAAGCGUAGGUAGCAAACAGG